rnacentral:rRNA from 1 species
GAUGAACGCUGGCGGCGUGCUUAACACAUGCAAGUCGAACGAUGAAGCCCAGCUUGCCGGGUGGGUUAGUGGCGAACGGGUGAGUAACACGUGAGUAACCUGCCCUUAACUCUGGGAUAAGCCUGGGAAACUGGGUCUAAUACCGGAUAGGAGCGUCCACCGCAUGGUGGGUGUUGGGAAGAUUUAUCGGUUUUGGAUGGACUCGCGGCCUAUCAGCUUGUUGGUGAGGUAAUGGCUCACCAAGGCGACGACGGGUAGCCGGCCUGAGAGGGUGACCGGCCACACUGGGACUGAGACACGGCCCAGACUCCUACGGGAGGCAGCAGUGGGGAAUAUUGCACAAUGGGCGCAAGCCUGAUGCAGCGACGCCGCGUGAGGGAUGACGGCCUUCGGGUUGUAAACCUCUUUCAGUAGGGAAGAAGCGAAAGUGACGGUACCUGAAGAAGAAGCACCGGCUAACUACGUG